rnacentral:lncRNA from 1 species
GGCCACCUCCGGUCCCCAUUUCUUCGUCGAAGUUGUUAUUUGGGAAUGUUGGCAAUGUUGCGAGCUACGGCUAGAUAAAGGAACUCGUUUGUGUGGUCACCCAAUAGUACUUUUGCAGGCGUUAUUAGUUGAGGUCGGGCGUACGUGGUUCGAGGCAUAGUUGACGAAUAGCUUCCGCACUUCUUUGUUUGGCUCUGAUCUAUUGUGGGUUACUGUUUUGGGUAGUCCACUUUAGGGGUGACUCGACCAGUUCUCGGUAGAGUUAUCACUAAGGUGGGCCCCGCAGGGCC